rnacentral:rRNA from 1 species
UACGUAGGGUGCAAGCGUUAUUCGGAAUUACUGGGUGUAAAGGGAGUGUAGGCGGGAGAGUAAGUUAGAAGUGAAAUGCACUGGCUUAACCAGUGACGUGCUUUUAAUACUGCUUUUCUUGAGUAUUGGAGAGGUAAGUGGAAUUCCAGGUGUAGCGGUGGAAUGCGUAGAUAUCUGGAAGAACACCAGUUGCGAAGGCGGCUUACUGGCCAAAUACUGACGCUGAGGCUCGAAAGCUAGGGGAG